GAUGAACGCUGGCGGCGUGCCUAAUACAUGCAAGUCGAGCGAACAGAUGAGGAGCUUGCUCCUCUGACGUUAGCGGCGGACGGGUGAGUAACACGUGGAUAACCUACCUAUAAGACUGGGAUAACUUCGGGAAACCGGAGCUAAUACCGGAUAAUAUAUUGAACCGCAUGGUUCAAUAGUGAAAGACGGUUUUGCUGGCACUUAUAGAUGGAUCCGCGCCGCAUUAGCUAGUUGGUAAGGUAACGGCUUACCAAGGCAACGAUGCGUAGCCGACCUGAGAGGGUGAUCGGCCACACUGGAACUGGGACACGGUCCAGACUCCUACGGGAGGCAGCAGUAGGGAAUCUUCCGCAAUGGGCGAAAGCCUGACGGAGCAACGCCGCGUGAGUGAUGAAGGUCUUCGGAUCGUAAAACUCUGUUAUUAGGGAAGAACAAAUGUGUAAGUAACCAUGCACGUCUUGACGGUACCUAAUCAGAAAGCCACGGCUAACUACGUG
rnacentral:rRNA from 1 species